rnacentral:rRNA from 1 species
AGUGAACGCUGGCGGUAGGCCUAACACAUGCAAGUCGAACGGCAGCACAGGAGAGCUUGCUCUCCGGGUGGCGAGUGGCGGACGGGUGAGGAAUACAUCGGAAUCUGCCCAGUCGUGGGGGAUAACGUAGGGAAACUUACGCUAAUACCGCAUACGACCUUCGGGUGAAAGAGGGGGAUCGCAAGACCUCUCGCGAUUGGAUGAGCCGAUGUCGGAUUAGCUAGUUGGCGGGGUAAUGGCCCACCAAGGCGACGAUCCGUAGCUGGUCUGAGAGGAUGAUCAGCCACACUGGAACUGAGACACGGUCCAGACUCCUACGGGAGGCAGCAGUGGGGAAUAUUGGACAAUGGGCGCAAGCCUGAUCCAGCCAUACCGCGUGGGUGAAGAAGGCCUUCGGGUUGUAAAGCCCUUUUGUUGGGAAAGAAAUCUUUCAGGCUAAUACCCUGGGAGGAUGACGGUACCCAAAGAAUAAGCACCGGCUAACUUCGUG